GUCUCUGUAGCGCAAUGGAUAGCGUGUUAGACUUCUAAUCUAAAGGUCAUGGGUUCGAAUUCAUCUGGGAUG